ACUCUGGGACAAGCCCUGGAAACGGGGUCUAAUACCGGAUAACACUCUGUCCCGCAUGGGACGGGGUUAAAAGCUCCGGCGGUGAAGGAUGAGCCCGCGGCCUAUCAGCUUGUUGGUGGGGUAAUGGCCUACCAAGGCGACGACGGGUAGCCGGCCUGAGAGGGCGACCGGCCACACUGGGACUGAGACACGGCCCAGACUCCUACGGGAGGCAGCAGUGGGGAAUAUUGCACAAUGGGCGAAAGCCUGAUGCAGCGACGCCGCGUGAGGGAUGACGGCCUUCGGGUUGUAAACCUCUUUCAGCAGGGAAGAAGCGAAAGUGACGGUACCUGCAGAAGAAGCGCCGGCUAACUACGUGCCAGCAGCCGCGGUAAUACGUAGGGCGCAAGCGUUGUCCGGAAUUAUUGGGCGUAAAGAGCUCGUAGGCGGCUUGUCACGUCGGAUGUGAAAGCCCGGGGCUUAACCCCGGGUCUGCAUUCGAUACGGGCUAGCUAGAGUGUGGUAGGGGAGAUCGGAAUUCCUGGUGUAGCGGUGAAAUGCGCAGAUAUCAGGAGGAACACCGGUGGCGAAGGCGGAUCUCUGGGCCAUUACUGACGCUGAGGAGCGAAAGCGUGGGGAGCGAACAGGAUUAGAUACCCUGGUAGUCCACGCCGUAAACGUUGGGAACUAGGUGUUGGCGACAUUCCACGUCGUCGGUGCC
rnacentral:rRNA from 1 species